CCCAGAGGUAUUGAUUGGUGAAUCUCAGCAACUUGUUGUUGAACCCAUAUUAAUUUGCACCAACCUACGCAGAUGCGUAGGUUUUUUUU
rnacentral:sRNA from 1 species